GAUGAACGCUAGCGGCAGGCUUAACACAUGCAAGUCGAGGGGCAGCGCGGGAUAGCAAUAUCCUGGCGGCGACCGGCGGAAGGGUGCGUAACGCGUGAGCGACAUGCCCGUUGCCCGGGGACAACCGGUGGAAACGCCGACUAAUCCCCGAUGGGAUAUUGUGCCGCAUGGCACGAUAUUGAAAGUUACGGCGGCGACGGAUUGGCUCGCGUCCGAUUAGCUGGUUGGCGGGGUAACGGCCCACCAAGGCUGCGAUCGGUAGGGGUUCUGAGAGGAAGGCCCCCCACAAUGGGACUGAGACACGGCCCAUACUCCUACGGGAGGCAGCAGUGAGGAAUAUUGGUCAAUGGGCGGAAGCCUGAACCAGCCAUGCCGCGUGCAGGAAGGAGGCCCUAUGGGCUGUGAACCGCUUUUGCCUGGGGGCAAUAAGGGCGUCGCGCACGUCCGAUGAGAGUACCAGGCGAAUAAGCAUCGGCUAACUCCGUG
rnacentral:rRNA from 1 species